rnacentral:rRNA from 1 species
AUACGGAGGGAGCAAGCGUUAUUCGGAAUCACUGGGCGUAAAGGACGCGUAGGCGGGUUUGUAAGUCAGGUGUGAAAUCCUACAGCUCAACUGUAGAACUGCACUUGAAACUACAGACCUAGAGUAUGGAAGGGGCAGAUGGAAUUAGUGGUGUAGGGGUAAAAUCCGUAGAUAUCACUAGGAAUACCGAAAGCGAAGGCAAUCUGCUGGGACAUUACUGACGCUGAGGCGUGAAAGCGUGGGGAGCAAACAGGAUUAGAUACCCCGGUAGUCC